rnacentral:ncRNA from 1 species
ACUGCGGGAGAGACCGGCCUAGCCGGCGCCGAAGGAGCAACCGCCCCGGAAACUCUCAGGCCAACGGACCGCAGUU